CCCGGCAAUAAAUUGCCGGGCUAUUUUCAGCCGUCCCUGAUGGGACU
rnacentral:sRNA from 1 species